UACGGAGGGGGCUAGCGUUGUUCGGAAUUACUGGGCGUAAAGCGUACGUAGGCGGCUUUGUAAGUUAGAGGUGAAAGCUCGGGGCUCAACUCCGGAAUUGCCUUUAAGACUGCAUCGCUUGAAUCAUGGAGAGGUGAGUGGAAUUCCGAGUGUAGAGGUGAAAUUCGUAGAUAUUCGGAAGAACACCAGUGGCGAAGGCGGCCGACUGGACACAUAUUGACGCUGAGGCUCGAAAGCAAUGGGGGAGCAAACAGG
rnacentral:rRNA from 1 species